rnacentral:lncRNA from 1 species
CCCUAAACUUAAGGUUUUCUUUCCUUUCUUGGCCUUCAAAACUUUGGGUGUUACAACUCUCCCCCACUUAAAUUAAACUUCGUCCUCGAAGUUUGCCAUGGCCCACCGCCUGCGAUCCGCCUCCAAUACCCACCAAUUAUCCCAACACCAGCCGCCUACCUGCGCUGGUCUUCCACCUGGUCAUUCUGACUAACAUAAACCUCGUGGUUAAACCUCGGGUCAAACCUGACCCUGAACAACUUAGAAACAGAACUUACUCAACCGACAAUCCUUCUGGUACUCACCGAGUACCGCACUGAACCCAUAGGGGUUCUCCACUUCCUUCUUUGUGUGAUUUCCUUGCCUCCCCAAGGCAAUGCUCCAUAACCAAUUAUUCCUUCUAUCACUGUGAAGGCCCUAUCCUUCACCAACUCCAUCACCCCCGCUUACCAGUAUGGGUCAUUAUCGCUAAUAUCCACUGGGCAUUUCUUUCUAUUAUGGUUUGGUGCAGAGCACACCACGAUCAACUAACUGAAUUCCACCAUGCGCUGCACGCUCGCAUUGCCACUGCCUGAGAAUUCUGUUGUUCUUCAUCUGACUUCCUGAUGAACUGAGACCACCCUGGUCCCUACCAACCUAUCAAUGACUGGAUUGCCGGNAGUCCCAACACCACCACUAGUCGCUCCCAGCGACUUCCAAAGAACUUCGAUCACCUAUAACUGCUCAAUCUACUCUGCCAUUCAGGCACUACAAACCUGGGAUUCUCGAUCCCCUAACUUGACACUAAGGUCCCUACCAGGUCCCACCUGUGCUGCUAAAACUCACAGGCCUCGCCCACGAGUCCCACCCACAUCUAUCCUUCUAUUCCCACUAGUCUAAUCACUCUCGCUCGGGCCUCGCCCACAGGUCUCACCCAACCAUACUACUGAGCAACCCUGCUCCCAGGUCUCAUUUACACUGCUAAUCUCAUACGGGCCUUACCCACGGGUCUCACCUAACUAUAUCCUGGAGCGGCCUCUCCCAAGGUCUCACCCCUCUAGGGCUAUACAGGCAAAAUCCAUAUCAUUCUCGUCCACUACCCAUUCCUGAUCCCUAUCUGAUCACUAGGAGAUAAGGGCCUCGCCACAACUCCGCUAACAAAACUACUAAGGAAUGCUACGGCUUACCCGUAGUCUUAUAUCACCAUCCAUUGCUGACUGCUAGAACGAAGGCAGCCAUGUGCCAUUAGCUCUCAGGAUCCUCAUUCCGACUCCCUCGAGUCCUACGGGCGAUCCACAACCUGAAUUCUCAACCAUAGCUAACCAUUACCUUCACACGCACUAGCUGAUGGGGAGUUUCUCAAACUCCCAACCCUGAAAUCCUCAAUCCAUGAAACGCUGAACUACUUCUCUUCCUUCUCGAAGGUCACGUACUCAUUCUGGGUCUGCGUGCUCCUCUCUGGGCACAACCGGAGGAUUCUCCCCCACUUCAAUCCUGCUUACCCCUUGCUGCUCAAUACUCAAAAGAGAUCCCGAUCUUUGCUACCAUUUCAUAACCCAUCUACUGAGGAACCCAAGCCCACCAUAGUUAGGGAUUUAGCCAAUCUAUCACAAUCGCUGUACCACUCCGAACUUAGCGAGACGUACCAAAUCUCUCCCAAGCAUGCUACAGUUACUGCAUCCUUCGAAACCUUCUUCAUUAGAGCACAUCCCCUAACUACCAUACAAAUAUCCAAGGUAUGCAGAUGGCAUAUAACUCGAUCACAAUCAACCACUCAAAAUAAAAUACUUUUACCGAUAAUGAUGCAGAAACAUAACAAUAAAAUCAUGCACAAAUAAAAGAACUGAAAAUGGGAAAAUUGCAUACCUGCAACGUCCGGCGUUGCUCGCGUCUCCAAGGUCGUCAUCUGAAAAGCCCUGCUCCCUGCUGCAGGUGCCUCUACCCGGCCCUGACGGCCAUCCGCGAUCCUCAAGGUUGCAGGGGCGGGUGCCAUCACCCGUCCUGCCGAAGACAAACUGGGGCACUGGGCCUUCUUGUGGCCCCGCUGGUUGCAAUGAAAACAUAUCAAGUCUGAUCCCUGCGCGGCGGUAACAGUACAAUCCCUGCUGAAAUGACCAGUCCGACCGCACUUGAAACAACCAGACUCACCACCGCUACCACUCCUGCACGCGCCCCCGUGCGCCCUGCCACACUUUCCGCACCGACUACGGUCCUGAUGAUCCCUCGAUCUCGAAUUCGGUCCCUUGGGCCUUUUACCCGAGCCCGUAGCUACCUGAACCUCAUCCGGCCUUCUCUUCCGGAUUUGCUCCAAAUCAAUUUCCCUUUCUCUAGCCCGAGAAAUCAUAUCUUCCAGCGUCUUACAGCUGGAUCUGCUCACGAACUCCCUGAUGUCAUCCCUCAACAUCUCAUGGUANCUCAUCCGCUACAUACUGCGGUACAAGAAGAGCCCUCUCCCUGAACUUGGCGGUGAUCUCCGCCACAGUCUCAGUAGUCUGCGUCAAAUCCUGAAACUCUCGUGCCAGCUGCUGCACCUCAAUAAUCGGCGAAAACUCCGCCCUGAACCUGGCCGAGAAAUCGCUCCAAGUCAUCGCGUCCAACGCGGCAUCAUCCCCCAAAGCAUGACCAAUCUCCUCCCACCAAUCCCUCGCUCUGUCCUUCAGAAGACAGGAGGCGAGCCUAACCUUGUCCCCCUCGGGACACUUGCUCGUACGAAAAGCGUUGGCAACAUCAGCCAACCAUCUGCUGCUAGCAAUGGGGUCCCUAGCCCCAUGAUAAUCUGGUGCCCCGCAAGCCCUGAACUCUCGAAAUGUCAAGGUACGUGCUCCCAACAACGCCAUCAUCUCGGUACGGAAGGCUCCCAGCCUCUCAUCUAAGAUCUCCAGUAUACCCUCCAUGAUCGUGCCAAAGAUCACAGGAGUCUGAGCUAGGAUACAGCGCAUAACCUCAGUUGAUAUCAACUUUCUCAUCCGCUCCUCGAGCUGCUCGGCCCCUGAACCCAAGCCUGAUCCCUCUCUGGCGCCUAAUCCGCCUGUUGGUCUCUCUCGCAACGUCACCAUGCUGAAACAUAUAACACAACCACUAUCAGAAAACUCAUCACUGCUGCGAGACCGAACACACCCCCUACUAGGUUCCCUGUCUUGUCUUGGCCCUUCCCGAAUCAAGUACAGAUCCUCUGCUUUCAAUAGUACGGGCCCAUACUACCUUCCACAUCUAUCCGUACUUUCCUCAGGAAUUGCUUUGACUCCACCAGGUCCCUUAUCCACUAAUACUGCUCCGAGCACUAUCUCAUCCUAGGCUUACCCUAGGGAAACCUCUGACUCAACUCAACCAGUCCUCAGCUGCUGAAGGUCUCCUUGUGAUGCCAAUUAGCCAUCACCUGGAUAUCAUCACAUGUGACGAGGCUCAGAUAAUCCUUCAAGUAAAGGACUCGUCCCUACAACGGUUGGACUCAAACGAGAGCUGCGCAAUAGGGCCAAAUCCAGCACUCUGAGAUUAUUCAACCCUGAUCACAUGUGACGUGACGUAUCCACCUAAUGGCUAACUCCCAUCACUCAAAAUCCCACAAUGCACAAAGCAAGCAGCAUUCGGACAAGGGAAAAUCUAACCACAACAUACUCAAGCAAUCAUAUCCACAUAGCAAGAAUCUGAACUAGCAUGCAACACAAACUCAUAAACUCAGGCAUAACCUAAACAGGCUAUCCUACUACUGUCUAAUCAGCACUAUCAUGCAGCUCAAACACAUAUAAUAGGCACAUAAGGCAUCAUUCCUAGAUCCUUAGUCCUAAUCUAGCAUACUGUUCUAUCAACUGAUAAUCAUAACAUAAACUUGUAUGGGUAUUUUGGGGUACUUACUUGAGCUCGGUUGAUUGCAUGCACCACACCCUUUUUCUCUUUUCAAAGUUCUUUUCUUUCUGAAUUAUUUUUGCCUUUCUAAAACUGUUUUCUUUCCCAAAACUCUCCUUUUACAAAACUGUCUUUUCAUUUUGAAAACUUCUAUACCAAUCCCUCAGUUUGAGUUCAGACACGCUCGAGAGCAUGUCCGAAUCCCUCAAACCAAGGCUCUGAUACCAAUUUGUAACGUCCCAAAAUUCAAGACUAAAAAUUUCAUUUAAUAAAACAUUACGUUAAGCAAAUUCAUCGUUUUCAAACAUAAACAAAGUAUUAGUUUCCAAAAUACAUAUUCGUUAUCAGAGUAAACAUUCCUAGGCUGUCUAAGCUAUGGUGUGUGGCAUGCGAUCAUCCCGAGCUCCACCAUCCGCUACCGGAAGUACCUGAAACCAAAACUGAAAACCGUAAGCACGAAGCUUAGUGAGUUCCCCACCCUACCACAUACCAUGCAUAACUACAUACUGCACAUACUGGGCCGUGCCUGCUAUCCUAGGCCUCGCCCCCUACCUCGGGCCUCGCCCGCUACAACGGCCCCGCCUAGCUUUGAGCCCCGCUUGGAUACAGAUCUGUUUCACCUAGGCCUCGCCAAUCACAGGGCCUCGCCCACUAACAUAUAAUUGCACAUAAACAUCUCACAUAAGCUAAACACAUACUAACGGAUUUUUUCCUAAGGCCUCGCCUAUCUCUGGGCCCCGCCCCUGACCUGCUACUGAUGAGUCACAAAACCCCGUCCAUGCUCCUACUGGUAGUGAGAUACGGGCCCAUCCCACACUCACUCCUUUCCUGACUUGGGCCUCGCCCCUGCUCUGCUGCUACUGAGAUGUAGAACACCAUCCACACUCUGCUAUUGGUGAGAUACGGGACCUCGCCCACACUCACCUCCCUACCAGGCACAUACAAGUAUCACACAGACAACAAGUAUAAACUAUCACAUAAAACAUUCCUUGGGCACCCGCCCUCUAUCAUUGGACCUCGUCCCAAAUAUCAUACUAGCAUACUGGGCCUAGGGCUAACCCCUGGGUCUUCUACUUAUAACUACAUGGGCCGGCAUUGUGGCCGUAGACCCAUUCAUACAAAGGCUAACUCACCUGAUACUGCUGAACUAUUGCUACUAAUUCCUUUGACCGCUACCUGACCACUAACUACGGACUGCUGCUCCACUAGCUCCCCGAGCUACCAACAUCAACAUAACAAUUAGUCUAACUGACCUUCAAAGGUCAACUAAGUCAACUCUUGUCAAAGUCAAAGUCCUGGUCAAAGUCAACCUUCCAGGUCAACCCUAAUCGCCGAGUCCAAUUACUGACUCGCCGAGUUCUUAUACUCAAAGUCCUUCCAAUCGCUACUUGACUCGCCGAGUCAGCCCCUGACUCGCCGAGUCUACGGAUUCCCGAAUCCUGUCCUGACCAACUCACUGAGUCCUUGCUCGACUCGCUGACUCGAGUCUUAACUCGAAGGGUUUGGGGACUACGCGACCUGACUUGCUGAUCUAAGAACAGACUCACCGAGCACACGACAAUCUUCAUCCAACUCACCGAGUUGUUCAUCCAACUCGCCGAGUUCAUGCCUAUCUUCAUCCGACUCGACGAGCUGUUCAUCCCACUCGUCGAGUUCCUCCUCAUCUUCAAGCUACUCGCCGAGUCCAUUCAGAUCUACAUACAUGCAGAGGACUUUCGAGUCAUGCAUGGACUCCAAACUGUAGAUCUACCCUUCCCAAGCCUAUCCCCCACGUAAAGUUGCAAACUUUACGUGUAGAGAGGGAGAUCUAGGCAAAAAGCACCAUAAACUAGGGUUUAAAGCCAAGGGGCUUCAAAAUCGACACAAGGGCUGAUACUUUAUGCUUCCCCAGCUCAUAACACACUUGGAUCUGAAGUAGCAACUCCAGAUCCGGCUUCUAACUCACCAUAAUAUCAUUAUGGCUAAACAGCCCUAACAACCACACAUAAAUCUAGAUGCAAAAAGGGUCCAGGAACUAGUUUAUACCUCCAAAAGCUCAGAAAUGUCUUCCCAAUCCUGGAUCUACAGCCCCCCUUCUUGCACUCUCAAGAUUCUUCUUCUUCCUCCAAGCUAAAUGCACUAUUGAAGGCAAUAAAUGGUUCAAAUAGAGGAUAUGGCGGCUAGGGUUUGAUAUCCAGGGCUUAAGAGGCAGUAAGGAGCCCUAGGAAGAAGAUUAAGACGUUUAUAUAGGCUCCAAGUCCCGAAUUUAGGGUUUUCCAUGCACAGACCAGACUCGCCAAGUCCACUUGGCCGACUCGUCGAGUCGGUCACUUACUCCUCGACUCGGAUCCCGCUCGGACUCACCGAGUCCCUCCUUGGACUCACCGAGUCGACCCCUAAACUUAGGGUUUUCUUUCCUUUCUUGGCCUUCAAAACUUUGGGUGUUACAACUCUCCCCCACUUAAAUUAAACUUUGUCCUCGAAGUUUGCCAUGGUCCACCGCCUGCGAUCCGCCUCCAAUACCCACCAAUUAUCCCAACACCAGCCGCCUACCUGCGCUGGUCUUCCACCUGGUCAUUCUGACUAACAUAAACCUCGCGGUUAAACCUUGGGUCAAACUUGACCCUGAACAA